CCGGACCCCCCAAAACCCGGCCCCGCUCCUUCAGCCUCUCCCUGCCCUGGCCCCGCCGCUCCUCGCUGCGCCCCACAGACCCCCCCGAGGAGGCGCAGGGUGUGGAGGACGAGGUCUUUGACACCCACCUGUGACAGGGUCCCCGAGCCUCCGGCCCCUCCUGACCCGGCGCCCCCCCCUCACCCCAUGGAUUUUUGGGGGGGGGUUGGGGGGUCCCGGACACCCCGGGCUCCCCCCCCCCGAGGAUUUUGGGGGUCGGGGGCGGGGCUGUGCUUGUCCCGUGGG